rnacentral:rRNA from 1 species
AACUGAAACAUCUAAGUACCCCGAGGAGAAGAAAUCAACCGAGAUUCCGGUAGUAGCGGCGAGCGAACCUGGAUUAGCCCUUAAGCACUCGGUGAAGUAGGUGAACAAGCUGGAAAGCUUGGCGAUACAGGGUGAUAGCCCCGUAACCGACGCUUCAUCGAGCGUGAAAUCGAGUAGGGCGGGACACGUGAUAUCCUGUCUGAAUAUGGGGGGACCAUCCUCCAAGGCUAAAUACUCCUGACUGACCGAUAGUGAACCAGUACCGUGAGGGAAAGGCGAAAAGAACCCCUGUGAGGGGAGUGAAAUAGAACCUGAAACCGUGUACGUACAAGCAGUAGGAGCACCUUCGUGGUGUGACUGCGUACCUUUUGUAUAAUGGGUCAGCGACUUAUAUUCAGUGGCAAGGUUAACCGUAUAGGGGAGCCGUAGCGAAAGCGAGUCUUAACUGGGCGCUCAGUCUCUGGAUAUAGACCCGAAACCGGGUGAUCUAGCCAUGGGCAGGUUGAAGGUUGAGUAACAUCAACUGGAGGACCGAACCGACUAAUGUUGAAAAAUUAGCGGAUGACUUGUGGCUAGGGGUGAAAGGCCAAUCAAACUCGGAGAUAGCUGGUUCUCCCCGAAAGCUAUUUAGGUAGCGCCUCGGACGAAUACUACUGGGGGUAGAGCACUGUUAAGGCUAGGGGGUCAUCCCGACUUACCAACCCUUUGCAAACUCCGAAUACCAGUAAGUACUAUCCGGGAGACACACGGCGGGUGCUAACGUCCGUCGUGGAGAGGGAAACAACCCAGACCGCCAGCUAAGGUCCCAAAGUAUUGCUAAGUGGGAAACGAUGUGGGAAGGCUCAGACAGCUAGGAUGUUGGCUUAGAAGCAGCCAUCAUUUAAAGAAAGCGUAAUAGCUCACUAGUCGAGUCGGCCUGCGCGGAAGAUGUAACGGGGCUAAGCAAUACACCGAAGCUGCGGCAAUAUCUUUUAGAUAUUGGGUAGGGGAGCGUUCUGUAAGCCGUUGAAGGUGGAUCGUAAGGUUUGCUGGAGGUAUCAGAAGUGCGAAUGCUGACAUGAGUAACGACAAAGGGGGUGAAAAACCUCCUCGCCGGAAGACCAAGGGUUCCUGUCCAACGUUAAUCGGGGCAGGGUGAGUCGACCCCUAAGGUGAGGCCGAAAGGCGUAAUCGAUGGGAAACGGGUUAAUAUUCCCGUACUUCUGACUAUUGCGAUGGGGGGACGGAGAAGGCUAGGUGGGCCAGGCGACGGUUGUCCUGGUUCAAGUGCGUAGGCUUGAGAGUUAGGUAAAUCCGGCUCUCUCUAAG